rnacentral:rRNA from 1 species
UCAGAACGAACGCUGGCGGCAGGCCUAACACAUGCAAGUCGAGCGCACCUUCGGGUGAGCGGCGAACGGGUUAGUAACGCGUGGGAAUAUGCCCUUCUCUACGGAAUAGCCUCGGGAAACUGAGAGUAAUACCGUAUACGCCCUUCGGGGGAAAGAUUUAUCGGGGAAGGAUUAGCCCGCGUUGGAUUAGGUAGUUGGUGAGGUAACGGCUCACCAAGCCGACGAUCCAUAGCUGGUUUGAGAGGAUGAUCAGCCACACUGGGACUGAGACACGGCCCAGACUCCUACGGGAGGCAGCAGUGGGGAAUAUUGCACAAUGGGCGAAAGCCUGAUGCAGCCAUGCCGCGUGUGUGAAGAAGGCCUUCGGGUUGUAAAGCACUUUCAGUUGGGAGGAACGUGACGUUAACAACAGAAGAAGCACCGGCUAACUUCGUGCCAGCAGCCGCGGUAAUACGAGGGGUGCAAGCGUUAAUCGGAAUUACUGGGCGUAAAGCGUUCGUAGGUGGUUUGUUAAGCAAGAUGUGAAAGCCCCGGGCUCAACCUGGGAACUGCAUUUUGAACUGGCAAACUAGAGUAUUGUAGAGGGUAGUGGAAUUUCCAGUGUAGCGGUGAAAUGCGUAGAGAUUGGAAGGAACAUCAGUGGCGAAGGCGGCCACCUGGACAGAUACUGACGCUGAGGAACGAAAGCGUGGGGAGCGAACAGGAUUAGAUACCCUGGUAGUCCACGCCGUAAACGAUGUCAACUAGCCGUUUGUGGACUUGAUCCGUGAGUGGCGCAGCUAACGCACUAAGUUGACCGCCUGGGGAGUACGGCCGCAAGGUUAAAACUCAAAUGAAUUGACGGGGGCCCGCACAAGCGGUGGAGCAUGUGGUUUAAUUCGAUGCAACGCGAAGAACCUUACCAUCCCUUGACAUCCUCAGAAGUGACUAGAGAUAGACACGUGCCUUCGGGAACUGAGUGACAGGUGCUGCAUGGCUGUCGUCAGCUCGUGUUGUGAAAUGUUGGGUUAAGUCCCGCAACGAGCGCAACCCCUAUCCUUAUUUGCCAGCGCGUUAUGGCGGGAACUCUAAGGAGACUGCCGGUGAUAAACCGGAGGAAGGUGGGGACGUCAAGUCCUCAUGGCCCUUACAGGCUGGGCUACACACGUGCUACAAUGGCAUCUACAGUGAGCAGCGAUCCCGCGAGGGGUAGCUAAUCUCCAAAAGAUGUCUCAGUUCGGAUUGUUCUCUGCAACUCGAGAGCAUGAAGGCGGAAUCGCUAUAAUCGCGGAUCAGCAUGCCGCGGUGAAUACGUUCCCAGGCCUUGUACACACCGCCCGUCACACCAUGGGAGUUGGUUUCACCCGAAGAUAGUGCGCUAACCGCAAGGAGGCAGCUAACCACGGUGGGUUCAGCGACUGGGGUG